rnacentral:lncRNA from 1 species
GCACAAUAUUGUUAUUAUAUUAUUGUAACAUCUCUUAUAUUCUGUAGAUUCCAAAUGUUUAGAAGUAGCAGAAGUACUGCUGGGCCUACCUGCAGACGAAAGAGAAGACAAGUCACGCAAACACGCAAUGUGACUUUCAGAAUGAUUCUGUUAAAAAAACAUGUUGAGCGAUAUACAUCACAUACUGGUAAAUACAGUUUACUAUUUGUUAAAUCACUUUUCCAGAUGAGUAAUGCAUAUUUUUAAAUGAAAAUGCAUGUUUAUGUAUAUUUUCCCAGAUGGAAGUCCACAAUGCAAAAUCAUCAUCCCAUUACACCUAAAUGAAAUUGAAUUUAGGGAGGUGCUGAGAGAAAAAUUCCCUGACCUCCCAGACAGAUUUGAAUUUUGCAAAGUAGCCGGAAACCGAAAGGUGAUACCAAUUCAGCUGUCAGUCUUGUGCCCAGCUGAAAUUAAAGCAAGCAAUGUGCUGGGGCGGUCAGCUCUAUACAUUAGACCACUGGACAUUCCAAGCCAAACCACUUCGGGUGCCCAUAGUCAUUCAAAUCCGGAGGCAACUGAAUCAUCUCCAUCUAUUUCCCUAAACCCAGCUGCAUCUCCAGAGCAAAACCAUACAUUUGUGUCAAGCCCCUCAACUUCCACAACAGUACAUAACAUGUCUUCACCCGCUCAAAGCCCCUCUGAAGUUGAUCAUUAUCAACGAAGACAUGGCAGAUUUUUUGAGGAAUCAAGGGAGACUGACAGUAAUUCUGAGGAUUUAGAGAUUGACAUGCUGGCUUCACCUCCAAGACACUGCAGUCCUGAUUUGCACAAAUACCUUGUGGAUAUUUUGGAGGAAUUCAGGAGGGACAAUUUAGACCUGACCACCCAUGUCACUGUCGUGGCCCGCCGAAGAAGAGUAUUACCUAGUGCGUGUGUUGCUCUUCAUAAAUCCUACUUUGAAUGGCAUAAAAUACCAAACAUUGAAUUUGUUGGUGAGAUGGCGGAAGAUUAUGGAGG